AAAUAAGUCUAUGGCUCCACAACAAAGGCAAGGAAGAAUAUGCAUGGAAUACAGGAUAUCCAUUAGGGUGUCUCUUAGUAUUACCAUGCCCUAUGAUUAAGGUCAAUGGGAAACUACAACAGCCCAAUGCACGAGGACCUAGACCCUUCAGGAAUGAAGGUUUGGGUCACUCUUCCAGGAAAAAAACCACAACCUGCUGAGGUGCUUGCUGAAGGCAAAGGGAAUACAGAAUGGGUAGUAGAAGAAGGUAGUCAUCAAUAUCAGCUACAGCCAUGUGGCCAGCUGUAUAAAUGAGGACUGUAAUUGUCAUGAGUAUUUCAUCCUUUUGUUAAAAAUGUAUUUGUGCAUGUAUACACUUGCACUAAGAAAAUAUCUUCAUUUAAUUUCCUUUUUCCUUUAUCAUGUAACAUAAGAUUUAUUGACUUCAUAUCAAUAUUUAAGAAUUGUUAACUUUAUGUAAUAGUAUUUGGGUUGGGGAUUGGUGCAUUUUCAGUUAUAUGAAGGAUAGAUGUAUUACGUUAGGCAUAAUUAUGACCUUAUUAUUGUCUUUAUUUGAAGAUUAUGUAUAAUCUCAGGGGAUGUAUAUGUGUUCAAGUUGACAAGAGGUGGACUUGUGAUGGUUAAUACUGAGUGUCAACUUGAUUAUAUUGAAAGAUGUAAAGUAUUGAUCCUGGGUGUGUCUGUGAGGGUGUUGCCAAAGGAGAUUAACAUUUCAGUCAGUGGGCUGGGAAAGGCAGACGCACCCUUAAUCUGGAUGGGCACCAUCUAAUCAGCUGCCAGUGUGGCUACAAGCAGGCAGAAAGACAUGAAAAGACAAAACUGGCCUAUCCUCCCAGCCUACAUCUUUCUCCCAUGCUGGAUGCUUCUUGCCCUCGAACAUUGGACUCCAAGUUCUUCAGUUUUGGGACUUGGACUGGCUCUCCUUGCUCCUCAGCUUGCAGACGACCUAUUGUGGGACCUUGUGAUCAUGCUUUCAUUCUAGAGAGGUCCUGCCACAUAUCUCGGAGGAAGAAAUGCUACACAGAGAAACCAAGAAGAAUGUGAACAGACAGGUCUUGCUGAAUCUGCCUCCCCCUCAGUCUAUUACCCUUAGAGCAUACCCCCUUGUCCAGUCACAUUUCUACAUGGCUAUCUGUACUUCAUUAAAUUAUCAAAUCAGAAACUUUAGCAUAAAAAGUUUUCCCUGGGUUUUGUGGUUUUCAUUUCUGAAGUCUCUCGUGUCACAUAAAACUUGAAUUAAAUAAAUUUGUAUGCUUUGUUAAUCUGCCUUUUAAUAUAGGCGUGUCAGCUGUGCCACUUAUGGCACCCACUUAUGGUGGGUGAAGAAAGGGAUCACACCUUUCGUCCCCUACAAUAUUAAUGGGAAUAAUAAUAACAACUUGUAAUGAUCUCACAC
rnacentral:lncRNA from 10 species